rnacentral:rRNA from 1 species
GAUGAACGCUGGUGGCGUGCCUAAUACAUGCAAGUCGAGCGAAUGGAUUAAGAGCUUGCUCUUAUGAAGUUAGCGGCGGACGGGUGAGUAACACGUGGGUAACCUGCCCAUAAGACUGGGAUAACUCCGGGAAACCGGGGCUAAUACCGGAUAACAUUUUGAACCGCAUAGUUCGAAAUUGAAAGGCGGCUUCGGCUGUCACUUAUGGAUGGACCCGCGUCGCAUUAGCUAGUUGGUGAGGUAACGGCUCACCAAGGCAACGAUGCGUAGCCGACCUGGGAGGGUGAUCGGCCACACUGGGACUGAGACACGGCCCAGACUCCUACGGGAGGCAGCAGUAGGGAAUCUUCCGCAAUGGACGAAAGUCUGACGGAGCAACGCCGCGUGAGUGAUGAAGGCUUUCGGGUCGUAAAACUCUGUUGUUAGGGAAGAACAAGUGCUAGUUGAAUAAGCUGGCACCUUGACGGUACCUAACCAGAAAGCCACGGCUAACUACGUGCCAGCCGCCGCAGUAA